rnacentral:lncRNA from 1 species
GCUUCGUGCUUCUCCCCUUGGCUGCCACGUCUCCCUCCCAUCCCUCCCUCCUCCGGGCCUCCUCUGUCACUGCAGCCUUCAGCCGGGGAUGGAUGGGAGCGGCCUGCGGCUCUGUGCCGAAGCACAGGUCCUGCCUGUCCUGUCUUCCAAGGCGCUAAAUCACCCCUCUGCCUCCGCCCCCGGGGGCCGCAGCCUCUAUCUCCUGCAUCAACGCGUCCCCCGUGCUCCAUCAGGGCUCUGGGUUCUGCAGCAAAUCCUUUGUCUCCAGCUUCAAUCCCUCCCGACGCCCAGUUCAAUCAUCCUCAGCGCCAGCGCCGGGCUGAGCUCUGCUCUAGCCCUCCCUGUUGGUUCUGCCCCCUGAUGGCCCUGCCCUGGUCCUGCCGUCUGCUCCAGCAGACCCCCUCACCCCUAGCCACCCCAGAUGAAAGCCCACCACUUCCUGCUGCCCCUCCGCUUGUUCCCCAGCCACCCUCCCUUGCACCACAUUCUACCACCCAAUGUGCUUGACUGGGCCUGUGCAAGCCACUUUCUGAAACUGAGAGAGGCCGGGAGGUGAAGUUAGGACGAGCUAUGUGUUACAAAUGGGGAUGUUGUAAAAGUUGCCAGUACCGAAAUGGAGUCACCUAUGUCAAACGCUUAACCAAACGGAGAUGAGGGAGGCCAUAAGGAAGCUGUCACACACACAUCCCUGUAACAGGACUAUCACAAGAACUUCCUCAAGAUUGCAGUGUUCCAGCUAAGCCACUCACACAAGGACACUCACCUUGCAAUGGCUGAUGAACAAAGGCUGGCUCCUACGACAAGCUUGUGACCUGUGAUCUUUGUUUCAAAGCGGCUUGUGUGGACUUCUCUGUGUCUUUAAGACUCCCCUUUGCCCUGACUCCUCUGGAUAUGCCUGUGGUCUGUUAUAACACACAUAUCCCAGAUUGCAAUCUUCUGCUAUUCCCAAAUAAACUCAUUUGUUCUGGAGAGCCUGUC